GACGAACGCUGGCGGCGUGCUUAACACAUGCAAGUCGAACGGAAAGGCCUGCUUUCCCUUGUGGAUUGCGGGUACUCGAGUGGCGAACGGGUGAGUAACACGUGAGUGAUCUGCCCCCAACUUGGGUAUAAGCCUGGGAAACUGGGUCUAAUUCCCGAUAGGACUGCAGGGUGGUGCCUGUGGUGGAAAACGAUUUUCUAGUGGUUGGGGAUGAGCUCGCGGCCUAUCAGCUUGUUGGUGGGGUAAUGGCCUACCAAGGCGGCGACGGGCAGCCGGCCUGAGAGGGUGGACGGCCACAUUGGGACUGAGAUACGGCCCAGACUCCUACGGGAGGCAGCAGUGGGGAAUAUUGCACAAUGGGCGGAAGCCUGAUGCAGCGACGCCGCGUGGGGGAUGACGGCCUUCGGGUUGUAAACUCCUUUCGACCGCGAGGAAGCCACCUGGUUGGAAGGGUGGUGACGGUAGUGGUAGAAGAAGCACCGGCUAACUACGUG
rnacentral:rRNA from 1 species